rnacentral:rRNA from 1 species
GUGAGGAAUAUUGGUCAAUGGGCGGAAGCCUGAACCAGCCAUCCCGCGUGAAGGAAGGCGGCCCUAUGGGUUGUAAACUUCUUUAGUACAUGAAGAACAGGAUCUACGCGUAGGUUUAUGACGGUAAUGUACAAAAAAGCAUCGGCUAACUCCGUGCCAGCAGCCGCGGUAAUACGGAGGAUGCGAGCGUUAUCCGGAUUCAUUGGGUUUAAAGGGUACGUAGGUGGCCCUGUAAGUCAGUGGUGAAAAUCUGCCGCUUAACGGUAGGGGUGCCAAUGAUACUGCGGGGCUUGAGUACAGUUGAGGUAGGUGGAAUGUGUAGUGUAGCGGUGAAAUGCAUAGAUAUUACACAGAACUCCGAUUGCGAAGGCAUCUUACUAAGCUGAAACUGACACUGAUGUACGAAAGCGUGGGGAUCGAACAGGAUUAGAAACCUGUGUAGUCC